CACAAUGAAAACACCUUGAGAAGUAAUAUAAUAUCAACCUUUGAUGACUUUAUUACAGUUCAUUCUAUAGCCAUAUAUAAGAGAGAGCUGUGUCAGAAGUGGGUUCUGAUACCUACAUAAUAAGAGCAGGACUCAUUGGAAACCAGCAUGCCAUCCUGAUGCCACCAGUAUUGCAAUAUAAUUAUCAUUUCCGAGAGGGUAUCUGUUCUAAAUAUGUGAUUUUUUUCUCUUUGUUAAGGAUAGGGGCAAGAAUCCAGUUGAACCAUCUCGAGAGUAUUUUCAUAUUUGAGUUUCUCUUCCCCCGCCCCUCUCUUCCUGUGCAAAUUAAAAUGCUAGUCUCAUUUA